GAGUUUGAUCCUGGCUCAGGGUGAACGCUGGCGGCGCGCUUAAUGCAUGCAAGGGGAGCGUGAUCGUGGUUUCGGCCACAUGAUAAAGCGGCAGACGGCUGAGUAACACGUGAGUAACCUGCCCUCCGGGGGGGUAUAACCUCGGGAAACUGAGGAUAAUCCCGCAUACGACCCGCGCUCCCUGGAGCGCAAAUGAAAGGCUUCGGCCGCCGGAGGAGGGGCUCGCGUCCUAUCAGGUUGUUGGUGGGGUAAUGGCCUACCAAGCCGAUGACGGGUAGCUGGUCUGAAAGGAUGACCAGCCAGAGGGGGACUGAAAACGGCCCCCACUCCUACGGGAGGCAGCAGCAGGGAAUCUUGGGCAAUGGGCGCAAGCCUGACCCAGCGACGUCGCGUGGGGGACGAAGGCCUUCGGGUUGUAAACCCCUUUUCCGAGGGAAGAGAA
rnacentral:rRNA from 1 species